rnacentral:rRNA from 1 species
CUUAAGUCAGUUGUGAAAGUUUGCGGCUCAACCGUAAAAUUGCAGUUGAUACUGGGUGUCUUGAGUACAGUAGAGGCAGGCGGAAUUCGUGGUGUAGCGGUGAAAUGCUUAGAUAUCACGAAGAACUCCGAUUGCGAAGGCAGCCUGCUGGACUGUAACUGACGCUGAUGCUCGAAAGUGUGGGUAUCAAACAGGAUUAGAUACCCUGGUAGUCCACACAGUAAACGAUGAAUACUCGCUGUUUGCGAUAUACAGUAAGCGGCCAAGCGAAAGCGUUAAGUAUUCCACCUGGGGAGUACGCCGGCAACGGUGAAACUCAAAGGAAUUGACGGGGGCCCGCACAAGCGGAGGAACAUGUGGUUUAAUUCGAUGAUACGCGAGGAACCUUACCCGGGCUUGAAUUGCAACUGAAUGAUGUGGAGACAUGUCAGCCGCAAGGCAGUUGUGAAGGUGCUGCAUGGUUGUCGUCAGCUCGUGCCGUGAGGUGUCGGCUUAAGUGCCAUAACGAGCGCAACCCUUAUCGAUAGUUACCAUCAGGUGAUGCUGGGGACUCUGUCGAGACUGCCGUCGUAAGAUGUGAGGAAGGUGGGGAUGACGUCAAAUCAGCACGGCCCUUACGUCCGGGGCUACACACGUGUUACAAUGGGGGGUACAGAAGGCAGCUACACGGCGACGUGAUGCUAAUCCCGAAAGCCUCUCUCAGUUCGGAUUGGAGUCUGCAACCCGACUCCAUGAAGCUGGAUUCGCUAGUAAUCGCGCAUCAGCCACGGCGCGGUGAAUACGUUCCCGGGCCUUGUACACACUGCCCGUCAAGCCAUGAAAGCCGGGGGUACCUGAAGUGCGUAACCGCAAGGAGCGCCCUAGGGUAAAACUGGUGA